rnacentral:rRNA from 1 species
UUUCCAGACUCCUACGGGAGGCAGCAGUGAGGAAUAUUGGUCAAUGGGCGGGAGCCUGGACCAGCCAAGUCGCGUGAGGGACGACGGUCCUAUGGAUUGUAAACCUCUUUUGUCGGGGAACAAAGGCGCCCACGGGUGGGCGGAUGAGUGUACCCGAAGAAAAAGCAUCGGCUAACUCCGUGCCAGCAGCCGCGGUAAUACGGAGGAUGCGAGCGUUAUCCGGAUUUAUUGGGUUUAAAGGGUGCGUAGGCGGAUUUUUAAGUCAGCGGUAAAAUGUCCGGGCUCAACCCGGGCCGGCCGUUGAAACUGGGGAUCUUGAGUGGGCGAGAAGUAUGCGGAAUGCGUGGUGUAGCGGUGAAAUGCAUAGAUAUCACGCAGAACUCCGAUUGCGAAGGCAGCAUACCGGCGCCCGACUGACGCUGAGGCACGAAAGCGUGGGGAUCGAACAGGAUUAGAUACCCGCGUAA